GACGAACGCUGGCGGCGUGCUUAACACAUGCAAGUCGAACGAAGUGGCGGACGGGUGAGUAACGCGUGAGCAAUCUGCCUUACACAAAGGGAUAGCCUCGGGAAACCGGGAUUAAUACCAUAUGGUGUAAGAUGAGCUCGCGUCCCAUUAAUUAGUUGGUGAGGUAACGGCCCACCAAGAUAGCGAUGGGUAGCCGAUCUAAGAGGAUGACCGGCCACAUUGGAACUGAGAAACGGUCCAAACUCCUACGGGAGGCAGCAGUGGGGAAUAUUGCACAAUGGAGGGAACUCUGAUGCAGCGACGCCGCGUGAACGAAGAAGGCUUUCGAGUCGUAAAGUUCUUUUAUAUGGGAAGCGGUACCAUAAGAAAAAGCCCCGGCUAACUACGUGCCAGCAGCCGCGGUAAUUC
rnacentral:rRNA from 1 species